CCCGGCAGCUCCGAGCAGUACGGAAGCUCGGAGCUUAAACCACUGCAGAAGGCAGCAGCCAGGCGUGACAAGGAGCCGCCCAACGUGAUCUACAGCCCGCCCGAUGUCAUCUGCAGCCCGGAAAGAUGCUAAAGAGAUGGUUUUUACCUGGAAGAAGUUGACAUGUCAGUCUGAUCCAGAUGCACAAGAAAAGGAAAGAGGACAUCGCUGAUCAGAAAUUAUGUUACCUGUUUGCCAGCCAUCCCUCUCCUGCGAUAUUAUUCGUCUGUAUACUCUUAUUGCAUUUUUUAGAUCCUGCCAUGCAUCCUGCCCACUGCCAUUUUUAAAAAGAAAUUAUUAACCUGUGGUAUGUUCUUUUUUGCUUCCCAUAUGCAUCCAUCACUUUACUGUAUAACUUGCUGCUAAUAUAAUAGCACAUAUGACCUUUUUUCACACGUUUUUCAGGUUUUCACCUGCAUUUCAUAUUUUAGAUAUAUCUUUAUGGACAAUAAAAUGUUUACUUUAUAUUUACAAUGCCACAUUUGUAUUUUUUUUCUGUAUUUAUUCCUUCACUACAAUAAAGAGAUCAAUUAUAUCACACUAUUUCUGCACCUUUAUACAGUGGCCCCCCGACCUACGAUGGCCCCGACAUACGAUAAUUUCAACAUACGAUGGCCUCUCAGAGGCCAUCACAUGUUGAAGGUAGCAUCAACUUACGAUGUUUUUGUAAGUCGGGGGCAUCGCAUAAACGGCUAUCCGGCAGCGCUGACUGCUUCAGCCGGAUAGCCCUUUACGGUGCCCCGUGUGCUCCUGUGAUGGUCUCCUACCUGUCCUUGGGGCUUCGGAGCAUCCUCUUCAUGAUCCCCUCCAUCUCCGGCGCUCUCCUUCGUCGUCAUCACAUCACGCGCACGUUGUUCCGUCACCAAAUAGGAGCGGCGUGCGUAGUGACUUGAUGACGGCGACGGAGAGCGAUGAUCCCGGGGAAGCAGAGACGUCCGGAGCGUUGGGGACACCACGGGGACGUGGCGACAGCGAUGGAGAGCGACAUCCAGGGCAGCGGUGACGGUCCGGAGCGGCGGGGACAGGGGAGAACAGCUUCCUAUACUUUACAUUGCACGGAUCCCUCAACAUACGAUGGUUUCAACAAACGAUGGUUCCAUUUGGAAUGGAUUACCAUCGUCUGUUGAGGGACCACUGUAUUUGUAUAUGCGCCUUCAAUUUCAGUCACACUUCAUAGUGGGGGUCGUGUGACUUCCCAUCUUUUCCAUUAUUGUCACUUAUAUGCUUAUUUAAUUGGGGCUGGUUUGCCAGCACAUAUAGUGUACUAAUUUUUUACACACCAGCUAAUCAUAUAUAUACACAAAUGUCACACACAUUUCAUGUUAUUUCCUUCUCAUAUAGGAUAUAUUGAUAUCUUUCUCACAUUUUUGCUCAAUACACUCCAUAGCAUUUUUUAACACCUAUUUAUUCAUACACCAUCCCUCCUUUUUCUCAUUUUUCUUUGGUGGCUGUUUUUUUUCACUCAUUAUUUGCACUACACAGGGUUUUUCUCUGCA